rnacentral:tRNA from 1 species
AGCCGGUUAGCUAAGUUGGUUAGAGCGUCGUGCUAAUAACGCGAAUGUCGUGGGUUCGCGCCCCAUACUGGCCA